AGAACGAACGCUGGCGGCAGGCUUAACACAUGCAAGUCGAACGCCCCGCAAGGGGAGUGGCAGACGGGUGAGUAACGCGUGGGAAUCUACCCAGUUCUACGGAAUAACACAGGGAAACUUGUGCUAAUACCGUAUACGCCCUACGGGGGAAAGAUUUAUCGGGAUUGGAUGAGCCCGCGUUGGAUUAGCUAGUUGGUGGGGUAAUGGCCUACCAAGGCGACGAUCCAUAGCUGGUCUGAGAGGAUGAUCAGCCACACUGGGACUGAGACACGGCCCAGACUCCUACGGGAGGCAGCAGUGGGGAAUAUUGGACAAUGGGCGCAAGCCUGAUCCAGCCAUGCCGCGUGAGUGAUGAAGGCCUUAGGGUUGUAAAGCUCUUUCAGUGGGGAAGAUAAUGACGGUACCCACAGAAGAACGCCCGGCUAACUUCGUGCCAGCAGCCGC
rnacentral:rRNA from 1 species